UACAGAGGGGGCCAGCGUUAUUCGGAAUUAUUGGGCGUAAAGCGCGCGCAGGCGGUCCUUUAAGUCUGAUGUGAAAGCCCACGGCUCAACCGUGGAGGGUCAUUGGAAACUGGGGGACUUGAGUACAGAAGAGAAGAGUGGAAUUCCACGUGUAGCGGUGAAAUGCGUAGAGAUGUGGAGGAACACCAGUGGCGAAGGCGACUCUUUGGUCUGUAACUGACGCUGAGGCGCGAAAGCGUGGGGAGCAAACAGG
rnacentral:rRNA from 1 species